rnacentral:rRNA from 1 species
AGUGAACGCUGGCGGUAGGCCUAACACAUGCAAGUCGAACGGCAGCACAGUAAGAGCUUGCUCUUACGGGUGGCGAGUGGCGGACGGGUGAGGAAUACAUCGGAAUCUACUUUUUCGUGGGGGAUAACGUAGGGAAACUUACGCUAAUACCGCAUACGACCUACGGGUGAAAGCAGGGGAUCUUCGGACCUUGCGCGAUUGAAUGAGCUGAUGUCGGAUUAGCUAGUUGGCGGGGUAAAGGCCCACCAAGGCGACGAUCGGUAGCUGGUCUGAGAGGAUGAUCAGCCACACUGGAACUGGGACACGGUCCAGACUCCUACGGGAGGCAGAAGUGGGGAAUAUUGGACGAUGGGCGCAAGCCUGAUCCAGCCAUACCGCGUGGGUGAAGAAGGCCUUCGGGUUGUAAAGCCCUUUUGUUGGGAAAGAAAAGCAGCAGGUUAAUACCCCGCUGUUCUGACGGUACCCAAAGAAUAAGCACCGGCUAACUUCGUG